GUGUGAGAGAGAGAGAGGGGGAAGGAGGGAGAGAGGGUACUCUGUAUAAGGGAAAGAAAACAGUUUCUCCUGCUCUGCAGCUUCUGCUCAGGAUUGAAGUGGACCGAGGAAUGAAUGGAUGACUGAGUAUUCUUAUGAAGAGGAAAGCCAUAAAAGACAUCAACGCCUUUGAGAACAGAAUGUUAAUGCUUGAUGGGAUGCCGGCAGUCAGAGUCAAAACAGAACUGUUGGAAUCUGAG